AUCUAUAGUAUCAUCAUAUUGGUGUAGAGUGAAGUUCCCCCUAGACCACAGAUGUCAAAUUCCUUCCACAGAAGGCCAAGUGUCUGCGGGUUUUCACUCCUCCCUUGUCCUUGAUUGAUGAAUUAAGGUCCCCAAUUAGUAUGGAACUUUCCACACCUGGUGGUCUCGGGCUUAAUUUAAAGGUGAAAAUAGACCUUAGGUCCUCUACGGAAUGAGUUUGACACCCCUUGCCUAGAUGCUGAUCUUGGGGCAGUUUUGCAUUUUCCCCAAUAAUGGUUAGGAAUGGGGAGGGGAAGCCGAUCCUAGAUCUGUACCUAGGGGAAACCUCACCACAGAGCAAGUUAUUAUCAGCCAAUUUAAAUUCAUUGAAAUAUUGCCAUAUUGGAAGACAAAAUAUUAUGUCUUAUAAUAUAUGCAUGCCCAUAACAAGUUGAAUGCGUUAUACCUUUUGUUAUAUACCCAAUGUUAUAACAUUUUCUUCUGAGCAUAUAGAGCUGACAAACUCCAUCAUAAGUGAAUGAGGGUGAUGCCUACUCCACGAGCAGUACAAUACAGUGGAUCAAUGUACAAGAUCCAGGAGACACAAGGAAAAGCUCCGGGCACACUUCUUGGAGAGCCGGAAUCUGAGGGUGUGCAGUAUCAAUGCCUCUGGGUUCAUGUCUAAAUCCAGCCCAAGGCCUCAGUGUGGCUGGCAGCUUCAAAAGUGCUACAAAUCUCAUGGGUUCUCCCCUCCUCAAGGGUGCAGCAGUCUGUCAGCUGGCGCACCAACAGCAGCUCCACCGACUCUCAACAGAGCACUCCCCAAAGGGAAAAGCUUCAGGAGUAGCUCCCUGUCCCUCAGUCCAGCCCAAAGACACCAGGACACUCAUCACUUCAGGACCCUGCCAAUCUCUCGAGGACCAAGGGUUGCUGGCCCCGCCUAUAAGCACCUGCAAGAGGUAGAGUCUACCGAGAUGGAGGCGGAGUCUUUAAGAGGGUUUGACACUGGGAGGGAUGGUGGUGACGACCGCCAGCGGAGCGGGUUCCAGAAUAUGCAAACCCUAUCUCGUUCAGCGUGGAAGAAAGAUUGGAGGGAGGUGCCCUACACCCGUCUGGACAGAGGACUAAAACCUGCUCCUCCCUCUCUCCGCACACGAUCGGUCCCCAUCAUCCCCUCUCUCCAGGGACACGGCCGUGAGGGGGGUCACAUGGAUGAGACCAGGCAGGGGGUCUCGCAGGGAGGGGGUCUCGCUGGGCCAGGUCACAAGGCCCAAGGACCUGCCAGUGGCAGCAGCCACACACCCCGUCACUCAACCACCUCUUCCUCUGAGACUGUACUAGAAUCUGAGGCCAGAUCCAGUCAUGUGCGUCCCUGCGGCGUUAAGACUGUACUGAGGUUAGGGACAAGCCCUAGCCACAUGCACCAUGGCUCCUCUGAAACUCCAGUAGGGCCAGGGGGCUCGUUCCAACACUCUGGGACAGCAGCAUCCAGAUCAGGUGUUCCCAGGAUGAACAGCACAAACACUAUUAUUGCUGUGACCGUGCUGGAGUCCGAGGGAAAGAACAUGCGGUAUACACCCAGAUUGCUAUACAGCUGUCCCGGGAGCAGGGGUCCUCAGGCAGGAGGCCAAAGGGAGGCCCAGGGGCUCGGGGAACAAUACGCCCUCCCAUCCCUGAUGGAUGGAGGGGCAAACUGCCUCCUGACAGCAGUGGUGAGCAGAGGUGCUGGAAUUGAUUAUGCCAAAACGUCUGCCAGCUGA
ensembl:lncRNA